rnacentral:misc_RNA from 1 species
ACUCGCUCAUGAAUCCCAACUAAUUGAGCUUUUGCCUCCAAUACAGCACCAGUAGGCAAAUCUUUCUUCUCCUUGCGAUUCCUACGGCCCCCAUGCCCUCCUCGCGGCUGAUCGAUAUCUUUCGGUGCAGCGUACUCCUCAACCGAAUUAUUCAGAAACUCCGGCGGUCCUGAAACUUCGGAGAAAGCGUCGAAAGCAGAAGGCAGGUCGGGAUGAGAGGAAGGCUGCGGAAGUUCGAAAAGUGACUUGUCACGUAUGGAAAGAUUGACGGUAACCGUAGAGGCGGCGGUGGCGGCAAGAUCUUCGUCGUCAUCAUCGGAAGAGGUGUGGUUGAAGACAGAGUUGUCUUCAGCUUCUUCUUCGGCUGAAGAAUAGCCUUGGAGAAGUGCCAG